CCUGAAGAUGAAAUGACUGCUUAACAUUACACUAAAACAUCUGGUACCAUUUUAUACACAGACCCAUGUCUGAGAGCAGGCAAUUCUAGCGGUCUCACCAGCGGCACAGUGCAUACCCAAACCUCCCUAGGGUGACAUCAUCCCAUAUAUGGACUCUCAGGCCCAGCCCUCCCCCUUUUCCUGGUCCUAAAUUCAUUGCCAGAUCCCCAGUCUGCUGCAAAUGUGCCACGUCAAGACUGGAAAUCACAGCACUUCAGUGUGUUUCAGUUUUGCACACUAGGGAAUAAGAAACGCUAAGGGACACUGUGAAAAAGGAGGACUGCAGAAUAAUGCGGGGAAGACAUUCUGGUAAGGCCUACUUUGGAAGAACACCUGGCCUAUGACCUGGCGAACCUAGGUGACUCCCCCCCCCUUCCUCCAGUCAUCACUGCAAGAAAGAUGGAGCUCUGAUGAUUUACUAAAACCUAUGCAAGAAAUGAGCGAGGUAUACUACCUAGAGGUAUACUGCUUAGAGAAGUGUACAAGAGCAUAGUUAAAGUCGGGCAUUUCUUUUUUUUUUUUUUUAAUUUAAAAUAAAGCUUAUUUUUCCCCACAAACUAAAAAGGUAAAUUUAAUUUAUUUUUUUUUUUUUUAACUUGUAGCAAUCAGUAUAAAUAUUUAAGGAGUAUAUCUUUUUUUUUAACGCAGAAAAGGCUUGCUAGAAGUAUGUAUUCUGCAUAGCUCCUGUUAUGAACUAUGAUCUGAAGAUCAAUUUUAAGAAAUUAUUUUCUCUUAAAUUAAUAAAGUAAUAGAAAAGAAUGCAUGAAUAUUAUUUUAAACUAUUGUAAAAUAUAUAUAUAUAUAUCACUGCUGGGAGAACUGUACUUUGAUUUUACAUGCAACCGAAACUUCUUUGCAAGUAACCUAUGCUAAAUGUGCUAAUGAAAACUGGGGGGGAUGCCAUAGGGAAUAUAAGACUACUCCGUGCUUGGCUUCUGCUGUGUAGGAUACAAAAUAUUUGAUUGUAAGGAAAAAUUACCUCUGAAAGUGCAGGACGUGAUGGAAAAAAAACAAUAAAUAAAUAAAACAGAACAAGCAGCUUUCCAUCCCAAUACCUGCCUGGCCAUUGCUUAUAAGUGAUCAGCACCAAUUGAUUGCUGCUGCUCUCAUGUAUAGCUUGCAUUGCUGAUAUUUCUUCUAACAUUCUAACAUCUUCUAAUAUAACGAUAAGUUACUUUGUCCUGAAUCCCACUGAUAGAAAAGGAAUUUGUAAACGAAUGCAGAAGUUUGCUUUGGUGAAUUUCCAGCUGUCCUGGUAGGGGAAAAAAACCCUCAGGCUGAAUGAAAUCCCCACGGACAGAAUAAUACAAAAAGUCUGGGCUGCAAUUUGAUACCAGCUGAACACCAGAGUCAGCUCCCCUAAAGUUAACACUGGUAACAAACUACUGCAACCGGAAAAAAAAUCCUAUCUAUAUGGUGCUCAUUAUUGGCAGGAAGGCUUUCAAUAGUCGUACUAUAAAAAGAAUUAGCAGAAAUAUGCAGCCAUUAGUAUUAUAACCAGUCAAUUUUGGAGAAUGCAUGUUAUAUUUCAGACAGCCUUGAUGCUGUAUGAAUUUUAAAUAUAUAAAUAAUUAUUACCUUUUCCAUUGCUCCUUCAAUAAUCAAUAGAAGUCCUAUUGGGAAGAGCUGGUCACAUAGAAUUAGCGUGACCGUACCUAUACUGGCUGUCUUAAAGCCUAGGAAGCAAGAACUAUCACUGUCACUUCCCUUACUCUCCCAUCAAAGCUUAUGUAUUUUGACUAAAAGUAUUAUUGCUUUUUCAGUUGUAUAUAUACUUCUAGGUUGCUCGCUCUCUCCUCCUUUCUUUCACCAAAGAUUACUUUUAGGAUUAAACUAGUGGAUUUUAAUCCAUUAGUCUUAGUAGAAGGAAGUUUUGCUCUCGUUCUGCUUUAAAGUGAAAUUACAAGACAGUUAAAUGUAAUUAUUAAUAGCAAAUCUGAAGACACAGGAAGAAAUUAAAAUAAUGGAAUCAGAUUCAGACUUGCAUUAAUAUUUCUGAAUCUUUAAGUCUGAUUGCUGUUUUAGGCAUAGCAAACCUGAAAAGUUUUGUGACAGAUUUUGUUUAAGCAGUAGGAAAAUGGCUUUCAAGUCGCAUCGAGAAACUUGCUCAGUUAUGCUUUCAAGGGUAAAAUGAUCGCUUGCAAAUUUUUUUUUAGUCUGUUGCUUAUUUGCAUAGCCACUUAUUAUUUUUUUUUAUAAUUCUGAUCUAGAAAUUAAGAAAGUAUUGUUAUCCAGUCAGUAAUAAUCUUUUAAUGAAAGCAGCGUUAAAGAUAGCUUGUGUCAGCUUCUGCUAUGUAAGCAAGGACAAUGAAAACAUAUGGAACCAGUGUUUCUCUUAUCUCUAGUCUGCUAUUUGCAUUAAUCUUUAUUUUAAAUGACCUUUCUGGAUUUAGGAAGUGAUUCCCCUCCCAUACACCCAUGACUCUUCAAAGUUACAUUUUUAGACUGUAAGGCUGAGAUCUAGGAGGCCCCCUUGGCUUGGGGCUUGGAAAGGGAGGGGAGGGGGGAUUGCAGUGCGCAAAGCAGCAGAUAGAGAAAGAAAGCCUGCAUUGUUAGCAAUGAAUAAGGAAGUAUAACUACUUCGGCUCAGUAAGCAAAACAUUUUCAAAGUGAAUUAAGUGAUUCUCUGAUUCUUAAAAUAGUGCUGUUUUAGAUGAAACAAAUUCUAGUUGAUCAUAAUCAUAGCAGAUUUCCACAGUUAUAAAAAAUAGGUUUUAAACAUGCAUGCCAAUAAAGACAAGAUAGCUGCGUACAAUUUUUUCAUGACUUUUUGCAAUGACUUUUUGAUUACUUUUUGCAAUGACUAAAAAAAAAUAUUAGCAAAUAUUAGCAAGUUGAAUACAUGCUAAAUCACGGAGAGAGUUUUGUGCAAUCAGGAUACCAGUGCUUAAACCCGUUAUGUGAGUUAAAAGAUAUGAUUCUUGUUAUCACAGAAUGCCAAAAAAAAAAAGGCAAAUUAAAGCCAGUAUGAACAUUUAAAGAGGUCAGAGUUUCAAUAUAAUGGAUCUUCUUUCAUCUUUGGAGGGGCAUAAUUUUUUAGUACAAUCAACAAAAUUAAAUAGGUAAGAGGGAGAAAAAUAUUUCUAGCUUCUUUUUUUUUUAUAUAUUCCUUAAACGUUUAAAAUAAGUGAAGCAGCGCAGGGGGAAGUCACCCAACUUUAAAGAAAUAUAGAGCAAAUAAGCAACCAAAAGGCAAGAAAAAAUUCUUUAAAAAAGGCAUUUACCAUUUUUCAGCCUUGCCAUUAGGUUGCACGUUGUCUUCUGUAUUACAAUUACCAGUGCAAUUAAACGCAUCUAUAUUUCCAGAAGACUAAAAGACGCUGCUCUCUUCUCCAUACUCCUUGCCCCUCUUCCUGUACCAUCACUGUGCAUCCACAGACACUUCUGCAGACCACCCAAGUAUGACUGCUAGGUAGAAAAUAUAAUUAGAAUAGUGAAAUUCUUACAAACAAUUCCAAGCUCCUAAAUAGUGUUAAACGAUGUGAUUUUUAUCUGUAAAUCAAAAGAUAUUAAACAGAUUGGAAAAUAAAAUUGUAAAUCUUAGGCUUUUUUUUUUUUCUAAGUGUUAUCAAGGGCAUAAAUUAACUUUUACUUGCAGAAGGCUUUGCUUCCUGAACUGCACUUCAUUUUAACAAAAACUAAAAUAAUACUAAGGAUCAGGCUUAAAGCUACUAAAACACAGGAAAUACCAGAGUUAAGAAACUUUCCUGAAUAAUGCUACUGUACUUCUGUGCUGCGUUUUAUGCUGCACUGCAAAACAGUAUCUAAAAAUAACAACUUCCCCUUAAAUAAGAAGUCCUGAUCACAGCUAGAGAGAAUAUAAUCCUCAAUUUAAAAUCCAAGCUACCAAUAUUUAAAGCCGGGUCCUUAAGAUAGGUUUCUGGAAAUAUUACAUUGGAAUUUGUUACAAGUAUUCUAAAAUAUUCAUAAGCCCUCUACCGACUUAACGAAUAAAUGAAAUAAAAAACACAAACAUUUAGCCCUUUUAUCAAAUCAACUAAAAUACCAACUUUAAAGGAAUAUCAGCUUUUAAAUAAAGAACAGGUAGAGAUACCUUAGUAGUACCCAAUGAAUUAAUUGAAGGCAAAAUAAAUUUGCCUCAGCUAAGAACGUAAAGCCACUUGCUGCUUCCCUGAUGAAUUUUCUUUGUGUACAGUUAUUAGAAAGACCGCUCAAGCUUUCCACUUACAACUUGUACUCCCAGCACAAGUUUCCUGAUAACAGUUAAUAGAAAAACCUGUUAAUUAUUAACGCAUAUUUUCAUUCUCCCCAUCUUGUUAUACAAUAGUUUGCCACUGAUUUUUACUGUACCACUAUUUGUUGUUUCAAAGAUCCAUAAUGGAUAAACUGAGAGCUAAUUUUUCUCCCAAAUUAAAUUUGAUGAAACCUAUAAAAGAAGCACUGUCUUAUUUUUGCUUUAAAGGUACUUCUAUUUGUCACUUUUUUCUUUAAAAUGGUCAUGUGGGUAGGAAGAUGUGCCAACUUAAAGCAUACACUGGUAUUUCUGUAGUUCUAAGUAAAAUUUUAAUCAAGCAUGUUACAAAAUCCAAGGAAGCAUAUUUCAUGCCUUGGAAAUAAUUUAUAAUGUCUGCAUUAGCUAGCCAUGUUUUGCGUUUGAUUAAUUUUUUAAGAUAUGUUCUUCUAUCUUGUUAGUUUCUUUGAAAAUUGAUAUAAUUUAGUCACAUAAUUGAUAUCCUUAAUUUGCAUACUUGAGAUUGUAUAUUAGCCAAAAUGUCUUUUUCUUUAGGGCAAAAUAAUGAUUGGAGCUAGAGCACCAAAAUAACUGCUUAUUAAUUUAUUACUGGACUAAUUUAAACCUCAGCACUAUCCACAGCAUCAGCCCUUUGGUAAAUUCAUCCCUUCUAUAACCAGCUCUCAGGCUAGAACUUAAAAAGCGUUUUGCUACUAUUCCGUAAAGGAUAUGCUUGAGAAGGAUUUGAAAGCACAAAUUUGUUGUUUACCUAUGGUGGCACUAGUGAGCAACGGAGAUUUAAGAACACCAUUAUAAAACAGAAUCAUUUAAUAUGUAGAAAAAAGCAGUACAACUGUUUCUUAUCCACCCCUUUUAUGCUUCCAAUGUGCUUAUACCUUUUGAAACAGCCUCAUGAUAGUGUAAACGUCAUUGCAAAAUUGGAUUGCAUUUACUGUGUGUAUCCUGUACAGAGCAAAGUUUAGCAAAAUACCACGUCUUGUGAUGUAAAAUGAUACUAUUUGCAUGCACUGUUUUUCUAAUAUUUAACUGAAAAACUUAUUGAACCUCUACAAACGUUUCCUUAUAAAGCAUGGAUUCUGAGAGAAAGCUAGAUUGAAAUAAUAUGCAAAGCAAAAUGCUAAAGAAAUAUGUCGUGAUAAGUGUAUAGCUCUCCCAUUUUAGCAAAAUUGAUAUAAAACGCAACCGGUUUUCUUUCCAGCACAUUCCCCUUAACUGGGUUAAUGUGCAAAAUUUUGUCUCCAUUUACACAGAUUUUUAUUUAUUUUUAACAUGCAAGAUUAUUGUACUUAUCUGCUCCUAGAAAAUAUGUACUGUAUAAACAUAUCCUUUAUCUUGAACUUCAGUAUUUCUGUGCUUCCAAGAAGAGUAAAAACAUCUGGUUAAAUUACUAUGUGUGAGUCCAGUAUGCAGGCAGACUCCUGUACAAGCUGCACAGAAAAUAAACCUCGGUCUCGAUUCUUUUUGUUUUCACAAAUGUUCAGUGUGACCACUCUGUUGAAAUCACUUCUGAUACAUGUCAGCACGAUGCCAACCAAUGUACUGAGAUGCUUAUUUUCCGAAUAAAAUCGAACUAUGUUCUUGUCCUACA